rnacentral:lncRNA from 10 species
CAAACCGCGAUGAAAUUUCAACCUGCCCAACACGAUUACUGGUCCACCUAGAAAUGCCGUGGAGCGAUUUAAGAGCCUCGGAAAUUUCCUUUAAGGUCAGGAGAGAAGCUGGUAACAGAUGGGGCGAAGGAGGAAAAGUUCUUUUUGCGGCACCCUCACGCCUUCCCAGCCCUUUCGCGGUUUACUCGCUCCCCGGAAAGCAGACUAGUCUCACUCUGUUGCCCAGGCUGGAGUGCAGUGGCGCGAUCUCAGCUUACUUCAGCCUCCGCCUCCCGGUUUCAAGUGAAUUCUCCAGCCUCAACUUCACAAGUAGCUGGGAUUACAGGGCAUUCAAGCAGCCCUGAGGAGAGGUCCACAUGGUGAGCCACUGAGGGCCUUGCCAAGAGCCAGCACCAACGGUCCAGGUUUGGAGUGUACCACCUUGGAAGUGAAUCUUCCAGUCCAGUCAAGCCUUCAGAUGACUUCAGAACCGUCCAUGUAAGCCACUCUUGGAUUCCUGACCCACAGAAACUGUUGGAGCUGCCAAUUUGCAGGAAAUAGAGGAGAGAAGCAUCUGUUGAACUGCACCAUGAGUAUACACUCAGCAAAGGCCAAACUGUGGAAAAUGAUACAGGUCAAACAGCCUGGAUUCUUUAACAGGUAAAUUGUAAGGAAAAGAAGGGGCUGAAGGGGAAAACUUUAUAUUGAAA